rnacentral:piRNA from 1 species
UAGCUCUUUCUACAUACCCUAGAGCCCGGGC